rnacentral:misc_RNA from 1 species
AAUUCCUCCUUUUCCUUUCGCUUUAGGAAAUAAAAGCAGCUCGGGUUGGCAAGGCUCGCAUGCGUCCAUUCGAUCAGGUCGUAAGCCUGAAGUUCCUCGCGCGUCAGUGCCACUCUGCCAAAGCCAAAGAAAUCCCAGAUCGGCGUGUGUCCAAACAGGGCCUUCAGUUCCUCGGUCGUAGCAAAAUGACCGGACAGGAGCUGAUACUCGGCCUUGUUCUUUACAUUCCGAUCGAUCUGGGUGAGCCUGUUCGCCG